rnacentral:lncRNA from 1 species
UUCUAGUGAAGGAAGAGACAGAGAAAAAUUCCUUGCCAUAAAAAGAAGAAAUCUAGCUGGGUCCAGUGGAAUCAAUCUACAAUUCCAGCUAUGUAGGAGGUUGAGAAAGGAGGAUCAAUAGUUCAAGGCCGGUCUGGGCUAUAAAGAAAUAUUCUUCCUGCCAAGGUUAUUGGGGAAUGUCAUCUCUGCCAAGGUUAAUGACUACUUGGUAACCAGAGACAGCAUGACUCCAGGAGGCAAAGCCCUGACACACUAACACUCCCAAACCUGAGAAAGGUGAACUGUCAUCGACUAAAAGAAACCCAAUAGGAACAUCUGCCAGGAAACGCCUCCAGCUAAGCCUUUAUUGUAGCUGCCUGUUUGCGUGGAAUCUCUCUGCCGCUGACUAACUGCUUGUCUUCUCUUCAUGACGCUUGCUUCGAACUGCUUGCUCUGUGAAGUCCCCACUACAACUACCAAGGGAGAUGGAUGCUUUGAUGAAGUCUCCGCACUCAGAAGCCCCAUGUUCUGGACGCUGGGGACCACACCUGGAUGAACCCUCAAUACUUUGGUGUGGUCCCUCCCAGCUGGUUGGGAUAUACACUGCGUCUCAAUGAUCAUCUCUGUUAAGCUUCCCAUAACACUGUAAAAAAAAAUACAGCUGAGACACUGGGGAA